GCCUGGAGCGGCAGAGGGAGCAGCUCCAGCGGCUCCGGGAUGAGCUGUCCCCUGCUCCAGGGACACUGCUGGGGACAGUCCCCAUCAAUGGGCUGGCUCCGGUGGCUCCUGGGCUCCUGCCUCCCGUGGGGAUGUUCCUGGGGGACAGCAGGGACCACCCAGGCUCGGCUGCACUCUAUGGACACCUCCUGCUGCUCAAGCACCGUGCCCAGAUGGACCACGAUUUCCUGGAGAACGAGCAGCUCUUCUUGGAGUCCCUGAAGAAAGGGCCCUGAACUCCCCCUGCAUCCCUGGGGAUUUCUGUG